rnacentral:misc_RNA from 1 species
GGUUGUAGAAAAUAAUUCUAGUUGGUGUCGGGACCAUUUUCAAUUUGCUCUUUUGGAUUAUGCAUCCGCCUAUACAUGCAAAGCAAUUAUAGUACUGCACAUGGAAAUCUUGUUUCAGUGUCAUGAUUGUUGUUUUACAUUCCGAGUAUUUUUCUGAGCUGUUAUUUCAGCUUUUUUGUUAUCUUGAGCUGGGACUAAAAGCUUGGAUCUUGAUUACAAAGUUCAGUU